rnacentral:rRNA from 1 species
GUAGGGAAUAUUGGGCAAUGGUCGGAAGACUGACCCAGCCAUGCCGCGUGCAGGAAGACGGCCCUCUGGGUUGUAAACUGCUUUUAUCUGGGAAGAAAAAGGCCAUGCGUGGCAAAUUGCCGGUACCAGAUGAAUAAGCACCGGCUAACUCCGUGCCAGCAGCCGCGGUAAUACGGAGGGUGCGAGCGUUGUCCGGAUUUAUUGGGUUUAAAGGGUGCGUAGGCGGCUGAUUAAGUCAGCGGUGAAAGACUUCGGCUUAACCGGAGCAGGGCCGUUGAUACUGGUUGGCUUGAGUGUCGGAGGGGUACAUGGAAUUGAUGGUGUAGCGGUGAAAUGCAUAGAUACCAUCAGGAACACCGAUAGCGAAGGCAUUGUACUGGCCGACAACUGACGCUGAUGCACGAAAGUGUGGGGAUCGAACAGGAUUAGAAACCCCAGUAGUCC